AUUGAACGCUGGCGGAAUGCUUUACACAUGCAAGCCGAACGGCAGCACGGACUUCGGUCUGGUGGCGAGUGGCGAACGGGUGAGUAAUAUAUCGGAACGUAUCCAAUAAUGGGGGAUAACUAAUCGAAAGGUUGGCUAAUACCGCAUACGUCCUACGGGAGAAAGCUAGGGACCUUCGGGCCUGGCGUUAAUGGAGCGGCCGAUAUCUGAUUAGCUAGUUGGUGAGGUAAAGGCUCACCAAGGCGACGAUCAGUAGCUGGUCUGAGAGGACGACCAGCCACACUGGAACUGAGACACGGUCCAGACUCCUACGGGAGGCAGCAGUGGGGAAUUUUGGACAAUGGGCGCAAGCCUGAUCCAGCCAUUCCGCGUGAGUGAAGAAGGCCUUCGGGUUGUAAAGCUCUUUCGCAAGGGAAGAAAACUUAGUUACUAAUAUUAACUGAGGUUGACGAUACCUUGAUAAGAAGCACCGGCUAACUACGUGCCAGCAGCCGCAGUAACAC
rnacentral:rRNA from 1 species